AUCCCAUGAUGAGGACACGCCAAGAUGUACUCCUGGAGCCUCUCUCAUGCCUCUGGGAUUGACUCAUUCAUUGCUUGUUGGAAGUUCGAAAUCUUUCCACGAAGGAC
rnacentral:snoRNA from 1 species